CAGGAGGCAGAGGCAGAUGGAUCUCUUGAGUUUGAGAGCAGCCUGGUCUACAGAGAGAGUUCCAGGACAGCCAGGGCUACACGGAGAAACUCAAUCUCGGAAACAAAACAAACAAAAUCAAAGGAUCUGGAAGUUUUCCUGAGGCGUAAAGGGUAACAGACUCAUGCAGUAGAACUAUCCCGAGACUAUGCUGUGUGUGGAGGGAAGACUGAAGGAGGGGAGCCAAACAGAAACGCGGUGCCUGGAAUGCAGUGAAUAUGGGUGAUACUAUCACAUACGAUGGGGCCAAGACUGAGCAAAAAGGCUACAGCUGUCCAGUGUGAUCUGAGUGUCCUGAGCUGCCCAGAUGCACUCUCUGCGUCCUGACGUGUGUAAGCAGCCUUGAUCUCCUACCAUGCCGGUCAAAGCUUGUCACUGUGUCUUCCUCACUGUGACAGACUGUAACCUCAAGCUGUGAGCCAAAAUGAACCUGCCACCCCUUCAGUUGCUUCCUGUCAGGCUUCAUUUUAGACGCAGCACUGACGUUUCCUGGGCCUCGUCACAGGACUGUAAAAGGAUUGGGAAGAAGCCCACAGUUGCUCAGCACCUACUGCCCAGCCAUGGCCGGGUGAGAGCACCUGACCCGCUGUAUGUACUCCAAGUCACAGGGAGGGCAUCAA